GGGUUGUAGCUCAGUGGUAGAGCACCUGCCUCACACGUGUGAGGCCCUGGGUUCACCUGGGUUUGAUCCUCAGCCCCA
rnacentral:tRNA from 1 species